UGAUGUAUUUUCGAUCCAAACAUCCUGCCAGAAGGCAGUUUGACUGCCAUUACCCACUUUUAUCCAGGUACAUUGUGUGAAAAGGUUUUUGACUGCCAGCAGACUCUUCCAAGUGGCUGAUACCAUCUUUUGAGGUCUGAAAAUUUGAUUGGGAAGUUUCUUCCUAUAGUAAUUUUUCUGUACAAACUUUCUCCAGUUUCUAUCUUUGUCCAUGUAA
rnacentral:lncRNA from 1 species